AAAAAAAGAUGAUUAUAUUCUCAAUUUUGAGGGAUAAUUAAAAAGGUCAUCGACAUGUUUACGACGUGCAAAAAGGCAUUUCAUUAAUUCGAGACAUCACCUCGUUUCAUUGACAUACUAUGAGUUACCAUGAGCCACUAAUUAACCAUCAAUCUAGUUCUAGUUAAAAAUUGAAUAUUCAUUACGAAAUUAAAAAUAGAAUUAAAAAAAAUAUAAAAUAUUUUCAUGCACUAUUUCACGAAAAUGAUAUAAAGAAAUUUUUCAUUUACAUAAAUAACAUAAAUUUUUUAAAUUCAUUUGUGCAUUAAAAAAAAGAUGAAUUAAGUUGUAAAAUGUUUUAUCUCAAAUUUGAUUACAAGCAACAUAAAAUCGUGUAGAUUCGACAUAUAGAAAAAUGUAUAUCGAAAUAAUUUUUUGUACUAUACAAAUCGAUUAUAUAUACAUAUAACAUAUAUAAUAUACAAUAUAUAUUAUAUAUAUAUAAACUAACGGAAAAAAAGAAAAUAUGAAAUACAGAAAAAAAUUUCAGGUAAAACAAAGUAUUCGCUAUAGAUCGUAAAAUGUACGAUGUAACACUAACAAUAAAAAUAUUUAAUCAAAAUUAUCAUUUAGAAACUUCUGUAUGUUUCUAAUGAUCUAAAAAUUUUUGAGAUGAGGUACAUUUAUUUUAACGAAGAAUAAAAAAAAAAAAAAAGAAAUAGGGAAAAAAUGGCAAUUUCGAUCUAUUUUGUAUGCCAUCUCUUACCUUUCAUUAUUAUAAAUUACUACUAUGAUCGAAUAAAAUUAUCAGUCAAGACAUCUAAGAAAGAACAAAUCGUUGGACAGAAGAGAUCAAAUACAUCUUUGAAAGAUCUAAUCUAUCCGACGAUGAGAUCAAGUUCAUCGUUCGGCGAUGGUGGAAAACGUCUACAUAGACUCGCGUAUUAUCUACAAAAUACUUUAAUCAUAAUAUUAAUUAAUAAUAUACAGAUUGUAAAUAACUAAACAAUAAUAAAAUAUGCUGUAACAAAUUCAUCCACUUUUUGCUUCUCUGUCUAUCUCUAUUUCUCUCUCUCUCAUUUACUCACUCAUUCUCUCACUCUGUCUCUCACUCAAUCACACGUCGCUCACUCUCAUAACUCACAUUGUUUUUAUUUUUAUUUUAUUCACUCCAUCAUAAAGAAAAGAUCCGACGGGGAGCCGGAACAGGGAAGAAGGCACAGGGCACAUCAAUUAAAAAAGUAGCAUUCUUCUUUUGAUAAUCAUUUCCAAUGUACAUCUAGCUUUUUCAUAGCUAAUAAAUCAAUGAUUGAUAUCAUAUACGUAUUAAAUUUUCUUUAACUUUUGGAAUCUCAAAAACCAAAGGAAAAUAAAAUAUGAAAGGAAAAGAAAAAAAAA